AGCUUAUGUCUGAAUUUUGGAAAGCGUUCUCUGACUCUUUGAAUCUGUGCUGGCUGAUAACUCCAAGAAGCAGCUCUGGUCAUUUGAAUCAGGCUUGCCUAGACUCUGAAGCUUUUGGAGUGAGGAGAUAACAGGAGGAUGCUGUCCAUUCCAGCUGGUCCCUGAUAUUGACGUGGGUGCUGUUUUGGCCUCAAUCCUGCCCUGUGCCUGUAUUCACUGAGUGGGAUUUCCCCACCAGAAACCUUCGCAUUCUCUGAGUCAUUUGGACUUGGACUUACUUGUCCAGAAGUUUUAGUUCCUGGAGAACUUGAGAAGGACUCCUUCUCCAGUUGUUGGACUUUAUUCCCCCUGCUGCUGCUCCACACCGCCACAGCUUAUUCAGUCACUGGACAGUUCUUGGUGAAGAAUGAUACUUCUUAUUGCAGCGUGCCCCUUCUGCCUUGGCAAAGACCCAGCACAUUCUUCCACCUGAUGGUUUGAUGAAAAACCAAGGUUCAAUAAGAAGCCCUUUGUCUUGGGGAAACUGAAUUUUCCUGCUGAGAUGGUAGACCAUACUUGGUUCUGUUUCCAGUUCGAAAUAGUGCCAUAUUUAUCAAACAACACUUUUAAAUAUCAUUUGAGAAAUUUAUGGGAUCUUCACUUUUCUUAUUUGUAAAUGAUGUAGUGUUUAAUAUAUCCAAAUGAAUUUAUACAAAUAAAUGCACAUUAUAAAGCAUAAUAAUUUGGAAUACAAAUAUAAUGGGAAAUCUCAUUUUAAUUUUUAUCCAUAUGAACUGUCCUGUUGCAAUGUAUAAAUGCAAGAAUAUAUCUUCACGUAAAUAUUUUCAAUAAAA